AUAGCUUCAAAGCGAGUCUUGUUUAUAACCACCCAAGGUAAGGCUGUAGGGAAAGAGAGCCAUCAUUCCAGAGAACAAGAGAAAAGAAGAGAGAAAACUGGUAAGCAAUAGCUGCAAUUAAUGGCAACGCCAAAGCAGCUAUAUGAGCAGCAACAAUCAAAUGUUCAGAGAGUGAAGAACUCGGGAAUUAUUAGCUCAAACCAGAGCCCAAUAAGGGAUGACAAGGAAGAGGAGAUGGCCAGAUCAGCUCUGGCCAUGUUCCGAGCGAAGGAAGAAGAAAUUGAUAGGAAGAAAAUGGAGGUAAGGGACAAGGUUCACGCUCAUCUGGGUCGCGUCGAGGAGCAAACAAAGCGAUUGGCUGAGAUUAGAGAAGAGCUUGAGGGUAUCACUGAUCCAAUGAGAAAAGAAGUUACAGUAGUUCGAAAGAAGAUAGACACAGUGAACAAAGAGUUAAAGCCACUGGGCCAAACCUGCCAGAGAAAGGUUUACAGGAGAGAGAGUACAAAGAAGCGCUAGAAGCUUUCAACGAGAAGAACAGGGAGAAAGCUCAACUUGUUUCCAAACUAAUGGAGCUGGUGGCUGAGAGUGAGAGGCUGAGGAUGAAAAAGCUGGAGGAGCUAAGCAAGAACAUAGAAACCCUGCACUGAGAUGCUACUAAAUGUAGCCUUUUGGAUUGAGUGUGUUGAGACUAGAAUCACCCCCCCCCUUCAAUUGAAUGUUGAUACAAUAUCAUUAUGCGUUUUUUGUUUUGUUUUGUAUCAAUUUCACUGACUGAAUUAGUGAAAGAAUAUCUGAAUUAUAAAUACUCCAAAAGAUCCCGUCGUUGUAUUGUGAGAUGUGAUGCAUCAAUCAUCAAAUUCCAUUUCAAUGUUCCGAAAGCUCUUGUACAACUAAAGCCCUGCAUCAAACUUACCUAAUUUCAUCAUGUGUUUACUUUUCA